rnacentral:piRNA from 1 species
UCUUGAAACUUUGGAAUUGUGGAGGGCAA